GAUGAACGCUGGCGGCGUGCCUAAUACAUGCAAGUCGAGCGAACAGACGAGGAGCUUGCUCCUCUGACGUUAGCGGCGGACGGGUGAGUAACACGUGGAUAACCUACCUAUAAGACUGGGAUAACUUCGGGAAACCGGAGCUAAUACCGGAUAAUAUAUUGAACCGCAUGGUUCAAUAGUGAAAGACGGUUUUGCUGUCACUUAUAGAUGGAUCCGCGCCGCAUUAGCUAGUUGGUAAGGUAACGGCUUACCAAGGCAACGAUGCGUAGCCGACCUGAGAGGGUGAUCGGCCACACUGGAACUGAGACACGGUCCAGACUCCUACGGGAGGCAGCAGUAGGGAAUCUUCCGCCAUGGGCGCCAGCCUGACGGAGCAACGCCGCGUGAGUGAUGAAGGUCUUCGGAUCGUAAAACUCUGUUAUUAGGGAAGAACAAAUGUGUAAGUAACUAUGCACGUCUUGACGGUACCUAAUCAGAAAGCCACGGCUCCCUACGUG
rnacentral:rRNA from 1 species